rnacentral:rRNA from 1 species
GACGAACGCUGGCGGCGUGCUUAACACAUGCAAGUCGAACGGAAAGGCCCUGCUUUUGUGGGGUGCUCGAGUGGCGAACGGGUGAGUAACACGUGAGUAACCUGCCCUUGACUUUGGGAUAACUUCAGGAAACUGGGGCUAAUACCGGAUAGGAGCUCCUGCUCCAUGGUGGGGGUUGGAAAGUUUCGGCGUUUGGGGCUAGACUCGCGGCUUAUCCGCUUGUUGGUGGGGUAGUGGCUUACCAAGGGUUUGACGGGUAGCCGGCAUGAGAGGGUGACCGGCGACCUUGGGACUGAGGGACGGCCCAGAAUGCUACGGGAGGCAGAAGUGGGGAAUAUUGCACAAUGGGCGGAAGCCUGAUGCAGCAACGCCGCGUGCGGGAUGACGGCCUUCGGGUUGUAAACCGCUUUCGCAUGUGACGAAGCGUGAGUGACGGUAAUGGGUAAAGAAGCACCGGCUAACUACGUG